AUGGAUGGGAAAGGCGGACACCAACUGUCGACCUUCUCCCUUCUCCACCGCAGGAGUGCCGCGUUUGCCCUGGCUCCGGAAGAACCCUGGCCGGGCUUUCACCCGCCCAGCCCCCGGCUCUCAGUGCGCCGAAGCAACCCCGCGCUCCGCAGCUGCCGCCGGCUGCGCAGCCCUCUCCACUUGUUGCUGCUCCCGAGGGAGCGGGAGGCGGCGCCCAGCCCUCGCACCUCAGCGCCUGCAGCGGCUGCCCUGGUCACCUCUGGGGACCCCCGCGUCCCUGGGGACCCUGGAGAAAGUGACCCCGCGGAUGCGAACUCAGGUGGACAAACUUUUCCGCCCAGAGAUUCAGGGAACGCAGACGAUGGAACCCCAAAGAGCAUUUACCUGGAGCGGUGGCGCGGCGGCCUCCAGAGCCCACGCGAGGCGCUGCCCCCGCGCCCUGCCCGAGGACGCCUCGGAACGCGCCCCCAGCCAGCCGCGGCCCGUAGCCCAGAAGGCUCUCCCCAGAGGUGCCAACGCCUGACGGCGGCACGGCUAGAACCAGAGCCUAGGGGGUGGAGCCGCGGCCGCGCGCCGAGCAGGGCUAGAUGCGCCCGCAGUGGGUGCCGCCCCCGCUCCCCCCGCGCCUCCCCGCUGCCACUGGAUCCCUGCCUGCCCACCUCCUGGCCCGGCUUGCGGCGGCCGCAUCACAUGGCGAGACCCGCCCGCCGGCCGCGCCCGACACCCGCUCCGGGAGGAAACCUGAAGCUGCCGGGACCGCGCUGUCUCCGCCAGCCGCCCUCCCGCUGGGGGGACGGCGGCUGGUCGCCUCGGCUUCCCUCUCCUGGCCCGGAGCUUAGAGGCGCGGAGGCUGGCGCGGACCUGCCGGGCCACAGAAAGGCCAGUUGCGCCCCGAGGGCCCCCACGCCUUGGAGCCUCCGAGGAAGGCGAUGGGCUGACCACUCGCUAAAGGAAUUGUGCCAGGCCCCAGGGAGGCUUAGGCUGUCUUCAGCCAAAAGCCACCACACCCAUGACAUAAUACUGCCCAGGUCUAUUACAAUAGGAAGUAUUACUUUUAAAACAGCAUUUGCCCUCUUAUUUGAAGCUCAUGUUCCCUGCUCGAGAGCAUUGCAAGCUGCGAUUCCCUUCGCGUUUAUGCAGGCAAGUGGCUGCAAGUCUUAA
rnacentral:lncRNA from 13 species